CUGAUGACAAACUCCCUGAUGUCUUCAUUCAAUAUGAAGGGCCACGGUUCCAAAAGGGCAUUCCAACCGACAGAACUUUACGCUAUUGUGACAGCUGCUGUCAAAAGGUGGGACAGCAAAGCCACGUACAGACCAUGAAAUUUCACGUACUAUGGCAGACCAUUUCAAACAUGCUCCUGGGUGGUCUGGUGGUGGAGACUAUCUUAAAAAAUAAAACAGGGCAGCAUUGACGAGGAAACAUCAGGGAGGAACUUCGAUUGAGUUCAUCGGUCCACACUCGUUUAGGCCCUGAUCAGUUGUGAUAUAAGAUGGAAACAUUUCACUUAAUGUACAGUAUUAUCUACAGUCAUGACUGUAUUGAAGUCCAUUUUUUUGUUUUACAUCCUUUAUAUCAUGUGGGUCACCUUUAGUUGUUACUAUCCUCUGUUGUACUUUUUUCCAUUUUGGUUUUGGAAUAAUCAUCUUUCCAAACCACACGUCGUCUACCGCAUCUUGGGAUCCAACCCGCAGCACGCUCCGUUCCUUAACA